rnacentral:lncRNA from 1 species
UGUGCAGGGUACAACCUGCACAACUGGACAUGGGAAGCUUCCAGGAUACAACUCGAGGCUUUUCUUUAUGUCCAAACUCCUUUCUAGUUAAGGUGCCCUUGGGAGCAGUAUGGAACCUAUUCUUCUUUGUGGGAGAGGUGGAAAAAAUUGUGACUUCAUGUAGUUGUGAGGAAGUAUGGUCUGAAGAAGGUCUGAAGAAGAAUUCUCAUCUCCAGACUGCAAGGGUUUUACAUCUCUAGAGACAAGUCAUAUAAAAGAACAAAGUACAACACUGGAGACCUUGAAGGGAAAGCAGAAAAGACAACAGUGAAAGAUUGUGUAAAAUAGAAGAGCAUUUUCAGUACCUUCUAAAGUCGUUAGAACGUUCUGCCCUAACCUCAAGUGGGAGUGAGAAGCAGAGAACGUUGAAGAUAAACAAACACGCCAUCAUCCUGUCUCUGCCAAGCGUUGCCUCUGUUGGCAUUGUCUCCCUUUGAUGGGACAGUGAUUGGAGGCUGUUAAUAAUCACCACUGCAUACAUUUAGGACUGGUCUUCUGGGCUGUGCUAGGUUCAGCAAAUGCUUUGUCUAAGUAAGUGUGUCCUACGUAGGGGGCGAACGUGGUGUCUGACUUGUCACAGAAAAUUUUGAAAUUAUAUAAUUUUCUGAAGGGUAAUUGCUUAAGAUGUUACAGAAAAUUUGGAACUGAUAUACUUUUAUAAAGAAUAAUUUUUUAAGAUGGGGAAAAUAGAAUUAUUUUUAAAUGUAAAAGUGAAAAAAAUUGGCCUUAUCUAAAGAACAUAUGGAAGAACACAUUUCUGAAUCGCAUCCUGCUAAAAAAAAUCCUUCUCCGGUCUCAGUUUUCUCCCCCCGCCCCCCACUGUUACGCCAGUUCCAGUUCCAAAUAUGUAAAUGGCGCCACUAAGGUGUCCGAGGGUGUGGUUAUUCUACCAAAAUCACAGAGGGAGAUUUCUUAUCCUUGUCAACUUCUGAUUUCCUCUGGUUCUAGAUCUGUCCUGUUAAGCCGAUCAAGUUACUCUUUGCUUGACUUGAUGGCAGUGAACACGGAGAUAGAACUAAGUGCGUGUGUGUGUGUGUGCGUGUGUGCACGCCUAUGCAUAAUCUGUGCUUCUGUGAUAUUGACAUAGCUAAAGAGGUGUGUUUUAUUUGGAAGAAAGCAUCAAAUAGGUUAAGCAAAGUUUCCUUUUUUAAGUCUGUUAUUGAAUCUGUUACAAUAUUGCUUCUGUUGUUUUUGUUUGGGUCUUUUGGUCAGAGGUGUCAGGGAUCUUAGCUGACUGACGGGAACAAACCUGUACGCUCUGCAUUGGAAGGCAAAGUCUUAACCACUGGACUGCCCAGGGAUUCCCUAAACAAAGUUUCUAAGAAUGUCAAAAUAGUACUUGAUAGGUUACUUGGAAGACUAGAUUUAAGCAGGUUUUGUGUCCCUUAUGGCAGAAAGUGAAGAGGAACUAAAAAGCCUCUUGAUGAAAG